rnacentral:lncRNA from 1 species
GACAACAUCGCCUAUGGUUCCAUCAUCGACACCAAGGGGUACUAUGUCUGGAGGGCUGGUUACGCCUUUUCGACGUAGAAACCGUCAUCCCCUCUCCGCUGAUGGUUCUUCUCCAACCGAUGAGCAUAGCCUCGCAAAGGCGAUGCGCCGCCAGGCUUCGAUGAAUUUGGACCCCACGAUAGGUACCUCCACCGCUCAAUCUUUACUUUCCUUUUCAGAUACCCGCGUUUCUUCCAGCUUAAAGAACGUUGGUGUAUCUAUGGGAAAGAAUAAUAAUGAAAUUAAUCUAUCGGUUGGGGUACUUAAACAUAUGGAGAUCGAUCGCUUAAAGGGUUCUCCGAAGUGUAGUAUCAUAAUACCGAACCCCGAAACCGAGGAGGGGGAUGAAAAGCGGAUGCCAAAUAUGAUGGUCCGCUAAUUUCUCACUUGGUUGGUGAGGUUACCGAGGUUGGAUUAGACGACACAAGACCUGGGUCCAUGUUUUGUGACUUUACAGCGUCCACGCGGAAAUCUAAAUCGCACUCCUCUAAAAAGAAACAAAAACCGCCUAAGAAGGCGAAGAACUCCACAACCAAACGAGUUUCCACAUGAGAGGCAUGUUUUGGAAUAGCAGAGGUCUACUAGACUUCGCUAAACAUAAACACGUCAAUGAUUGUGUUCGGGAAUAUGGAUUGGAUUUUGUGGUAAAUUCCGAGGCUGGUAAGUUUGACUUUCACCCGCAUGUCCUCGAUCACCUAUCAGGUGGUCUCGACUACACAUGACAUAGUCUACCAGCUCCUGGAAGGUCAGGAGGUAUCCUUCUUGGGAUACUAACCUCAGUCAUGGACUUGUUGGCCAUUUCAGUAGGUGAAUUUCAUAUAAAAUUUCACCGAAGAAACAGGGACGACAAUUUCACAUGGACUUUGGUAGCUGUCUAUGAGGCUGCCCAGGAUGAGCAUAAAUCGACUUUCCUUACGGAAUUGGUAAACCUAGCUAAGGAUAACCCGUAUCCAAUGCUUAUUGGAGGGGAUUUUAAUACUCUUAGGUACCAGCAAGAAAAAAAACCCGCUUAAACACUCAUUGGCCUUUCCUAUUCAAUGCUGUGAUAGACAGUUUGGAUCUUCCAGAGGUCAGUAUGUCAGGGCGGCAGUUCACCUAGGCUACUAAUCUGUUAGUGCCAACAUACGAGAAGCUCGACAGGGUACUCAUGGACACCGAAUGGGAAAUAAAAUUUCCUUUGGUCACUGUACGAGCCCUAGAGCAUAUCGAGGCAUUAUUGGAUCAUGCAUCCCUCAUUCUUGAUUCUAAUUCUACGAACCCACUGGCCCAUCGCCCUUUCAAAUUUGAAUUGGGAUGGCUACAUCGGGAAGGGUUUAUAGAUAUAAUCAAGAAUGUUUGGGAGAGGCUCGCGAUUGGCCACACACCUAUUCAGAGAUGGAACUUUAAAAUAAGGGCCAUGAGGAAACACCUCACUGGAUGGGCGAAACACACCAAUGGGAUACAUAAAAAAGAAAAACAAAGGCUCUCUACCAUUAUUGACGACCUCGAUAAGAUUGCAGAGACGUGCAACUUAUCACAACAAGAAAUUGAAUUGAAAAAUCAACCUAAUGAGAAGGUUGCUCGGCUUUUGCGAGAAGAGGAAAUCAAAUACUACCAGAGAUCCAAAGUUGACUUCAUUUUGCUGGGUGAUAGUAAUACAAGAUACUUCCAAUUGAUCGCCAAUGGGUGGCAUAGGAAGAGAUGUAUUUACAGUCUCCAACAAGAUGAGGGAUGGAUCGAAGGCCAGGAGGAGCUCAAAAAGUAUAUCACCAAAUACUACAAAUCAUUGUUCGGAGCGUCGCCUGAAGGGAACUUCACCCUUGACGGGACUCGAACAGAUGAUAUCCCACAAGUCACAUCCGAAGAAAACGAUAUCCUCACGGCACCUUUCUCAGAAGAGGAUGUGAGAGCGACGGUGUUCCAAAUGGAACACAACAAAGCUCCAGGCCCUCAUGAUUUCCCCGUGGAAUUCUAUCAGAAUUUAUGGGAUAUCAUCAAGGCUGACCUUUUGGAAUUGUUCAAUUGUCUUCAUACCGACCUACUUGAUCUAUUCAGACUUAAUUUUGGUGACAUUGUCUUAUUGCCGAAGAUUAAGGAGGCCGAACGGAUCCAACAGUUUAGACCCAUAUGCCUCCUUAAUGUAAGCUUCAAGAUUUUCACAAAAGUAAACAUGAGUGGAGUAGUAUUCAAAAUCAACUUUGAAAAAGCCUAUGACAAUUUCAAAUGGUCUUUCCUCCAACAGACCCUACGAAUGAAAGGCUUCUCAGAUAAAUGGCGCCAGUGGAUCCAAAAUUUUGUAACUGGAGGUAGUGUGGCCAUCAAAGUCAAUGAUGAAGCAAGCCAUUACUUUCAGACAAAAAAAGGGUUGCGGCAGGGUGACUCCAUGUCCCCAAUGUUAUUUAACAUUGUUGCUGACAUGUUGGCUAUUUUGAUUGAGCGUGCAAAGCAGGACGGUCGGAUUGCAGGAGUAGUGCCACACCUUGUGGAUGGUGGCCUCUUUAUUCUGCAAUAUGCCGGUGACACAAUUCUUUGUAUGGAACAUGACCUGGACAAGGCUCGAAACCUUAAACUCUUGCUUUCAGCGUUUGAGCCAAUGUCAGGUCUCAAAAUUAACUUUCAUAAAAGGGAAAUUUUCUGUGUCGGAGAAGCCGUUGAGGCGAUGGCAGAUUAUGCUGACCUGUUUGGUUGUGCACAUGGCCAAUUCCCGAUUAAGUAUCUGGGAAUUCCAAUUCAUUACCGGUGUCUCACGAUUGCGGAGUGGAAGUAUGUAGAGGAGCGUCUAGAGAAACACUUAAGUAGUUGGGAAGGCAAGUUGCUUUCAGUUGGAGGACGGUUGGUUCUGAAUAACUCUGUCCUCACAAAUAUGGUUCUCUAUAUGUUUCUUUCUUCCAACUCCCAAAGGGGGUUCUACAAAGACUGGACUAUUUUAGAUCCAGAUUCUUUUGGCAAGGAGAUGGUGAAAAGAAAAAAUACAAAUUGGCCAAAUGGAGCAUGGUUUGUAGGCCAAAAGACCAAGGUGGGCUUGGAAUUCAUGACCUAAAGGUAAGAAUGAGGCCCUACUCAGUAAAUGGUUAUUCAAACUUCUUACUGAGGAUGGUGUUUGGCAAACCAUGUUGCGCAACAAAUAUCUAGGCCAAAAGGCAAUGUCUCAGACAUAUUGGAAACCUGGAGACUCACACUUUUGGGUUGGCCUAAUGGUGGCAAAGAAGCAUCUUUCUCACUUUGGGUCUUUUACGAUAAAGGAUGGGUCGGAAAUUCAUUUCUGCGAAGACAUAUGGCUAGGCAAUGCAAGUCUCCGAGAACAAUAUCCUGCCUUGUAUGUCAAUGCUCGCGAUAAGAAUAAUACUAUUGCGCAGGUGCUCAGUUCAUCUCCGCCGAAUCUUUCGUUCAGGCGGGAUUUGAUUGGCCCCCGUCUUGUGUCAUGGCAUAAUCUUUUGUCCCGACUGGAUUCGAUUAACUUGACACAAGGCCGGGAUCUAUUCCACUGGAACCUUACUACAUCAAGGUCUUUCACAGUGGACUUUAUGUAUCGUGCGCUCACGCAUUCUGGGGUACCGGUGAGUAAUAACAAAAAUAUUUGGAAGUCGAAGAUCCCACUAAAAGUUAAAAUCUUCAUGUGGUACCUUCGUAGAGGAGUUGUGCUAACCAAAGAUAACCUCGCACGACGCAACUGGCAAGGGAGUAAGUUUUUGUACUCAUAACGAGACAAACAAGCACCUAUUUUUCCACUGCAAUUUUGCACGUUCUACGUGGUCAGUCAUCCAAAUAGCGUCAAAUUUAUACCCACCUACAAGUGUUGCCAAUAUUUUUUGGUCGUUGGUUGGAUGGUAUUCCGAAUAGGUUCAAGACGAUGAGAAGGGUGGGAGAGUAUGCCUUAAGUUGGUCGCUUUGGCUAUGUAGAAAUGAUAUGGUUUCUAAUGAUAAAAUGCAUCUCUUCAGCGGGUUAUUUUCCGAUGUACGCAAUUGCUUCGUAUGUGGUCUACGCUACAACGACCGGAGUACCAAUCGUUGUUCAAGUCGGGGUGUACGCGAUUGGAGCAGGUGGCUACAGAGGGUUUUUCCCAACAUGGGUGGAACAUAACCUUCGCAUAAACGGACCACCACCUUCGGUGGUCCUUCGACAUAGGCAUAGUGCCGGUCUAUAGGACUCUAUUGUUGCCGAUAUGUCGGUUUUGUUUUAUUUAUUUAUCUGUUGUUGGCAGACUUUAAGGUUUGGCUGUGUGCAUCCUAGAUUUGCAGAGGCCGGGUGUUACUCAUAAUGUUUUGUAUCCGCUUGAUGCUACAUUUUGAGAUAAUAAAAGCGCCCUUUAUCAAAAAAACUUAAUUGCAAAGUACAACUACACCAAGGUAGACAACUUAUAGCACCAAUAGUGAAAUGCUUCUAGAAAUGUGCCAAAAUUUGUAAUCAUCUACAAAUAGACAAACGAGAAUAUACUAUUUCUGUGCUGGUAAUUAUGAAAGAAGGAAAUAUAAUUUUCAGACUGUACCUGGCUUCGAAUUCCCUUAUCUCAAAAAGCUCCUUUCCACAUGUAUCAGUCCAUUGAACUUUUCUCCGUUCCAUACCAGAUUUCAAGGUUUGCACCUCUUCCAGUGACUCACGUGGUUCUUCACCUUCACUCGCCAAUAUAGAAUGCUCCGACGAAUCCCUUUUUGAGUUGCUCUUAAGACAACCUUUUCUCUCAUCUCCAGUUAUGGAACCAUUAGCGGUAACCUUCUUCUCUGUUGAACGGGAUGGCUCUUCCAAAGAGUCCAAAGAGUUGCUUGAACUCAGUUUCGCAGGAUACACCCCUUCGAGCUCCGAAGCAGUGCUACCGAAGCAGACGAAGGGAGCACAUUUACGGGGAGCUUGAUUUUUUGUGGAAGCCAGAUGAUACACAUGCUCAGCUUCCCCGUCGACUAGUCCAUACUGAUUCCAUGGCGAUACCUUGACAGGCUUCUCUUCUUCUUUCCGUCCAAGCAGCAAAAGAGCAAGGCCAUGACUGUAUCCUGAAGCUGACGAUGAGAAAAAACCUCCUCCUUCCACAGCCAGUAGCAUUUCCACUUCUCAUCCAGGAACCAUUAACUAUAUUCUUCUGCUCUGCUUAAUAAACUUCCUCUUCAUUGGCUGGUCAACUGUGCUACAAGGGAAAAGAAAACCAGAUUCAAUGCUCAUUAUACUUGCACCCGAGAUAUAUACUACCCUCUCACGAAUGUAAUUCAGUAGCAGAAUAUUAGCCGCACAUCAACAGGGCAUGGAUAUCUCAACUGCAGCAGGCAUUCUUGUCUUGAACCAAGGCUCUUCAUCAGUUACCACGCAAUCAAGAAACAGAAAAGGUCUUCAAUUAUAUCCAACCGUUCCAAUUUUAGCUGAGCAUAUAACUGAAGAGUUCAGCCCAGUCACCUAAACAUGAUCACAUGCUAGUGUACUCCCAACUGCAUCGAAGCCUAAAAGGCUCUUGAUUCACUCGUACCACACAUAUGCAGUAACCAAUCCCAUGCGAAUAUGCAAUGAAGCGGAGCGCACACUCUAAUAUAUACUUCUAAAGAAAUUUUAGAAAAUAGAUAAAGAAACUGCAAUACAGAUUGACAAGAAGUUGCUAAUGAGGUAAUCCCAAGAAGAUAUGUUCCAAAGUAAGCAACAAUUGUUACUGAUUGAGUUAUAUAUAUAGAAUAUAUAAAAGAGAGAAAAAUCCGCAGCACUGACCGAAGAGGUAGGCCUUCACACGGAUCUAGCAACCAAGAAGCAACCAAAUCCUUAAUAAUCGGCUUAAGUAAGGAACGCAUUGGCUAACACCAAUAUUCAACACCCAAACUAGGACCGGCACGACCCGGAUCUGGAAAAGAAGUCCGGGAAGUUUAAAUCAGUGGGCGAACAAAAUGCUACUGCUGAACGGAUCGGACCUGGGAGAGAGCUACAUUCCGAUUGGGCGCAGCAGGGUUGGAGGCGGGGGGGCUAUCGGAUCUGAGCCUGAUGCGAGGUGAGAGAAAAGGAAGGUGGUGUUUGUUUCCAUGGGCUUUUUGAUGUAGGGAUUAAAAAAAAGUCCUAAAAAGUCCCAUGUAAAACAAACAGGAAGGACUUUUAGGGACUAAAGUGGGGUGUUUGGGACUAUUUGAAGUACCUAUGUGAGGGACUUUUUGGCACUUUUUCCAACAAUGCCCCUACUUUUAGCAUGUAAUUUAAUAACUACUACUACAUUACUAAGGAUAACAUGGUCUUUUUACAUGUCAUUUAAUGACCUCUAGUUCCUAUUUAGUCCCUGGAAACAAACGGAUAGGGACUAGGGACUUUUAAGUUGGGACUAAAAAAAGUCUCAGGACUUCUCAAACAAACAGGGCCGAAAUCGAUUGUGGCAGAAAAAGAAAAGGAAAUCGAUUGUAGCAGAAAAAGAGAAGGUACAAACAGACAGGACCUCAGCGGCAGUUGGUGCUGUUUUUAUUUUUACAUGAGUUUUUUUUACCUGAGUUGGUGCUGUUCUGUCCUACUCGGCAAAAAUUGACAAAUUUAACCCACGAGGCAAAGUAUUUCAUAAAAUGAACUACAUUUGAAAAAAAUUCACUCAACUGAUUUUUUUAUGUGAUAUUCGACAGUCACGCGUCACACUACACUGUGUGACGUUUUAGUCUUAGACGCCACACAGUGUAGUGUGACGUCUAUAUCUUAGACGCCACACUAGGUCUCAGGCGUCACACAACCUAGUAUCGGGCGUCACCCAGUGUAGUGUGGCGUCUAAGACAAAGACGUUACACAAAAGGUCAGUUGGGUGAUUUUUUUUUAAAAUGUAGUUCACUUUGUGAAUUAGUUUGGCUUUUAGUCAAAAUUUUCCACUUCGCCGGAUCGUUUAGGUUGGGGCCCUCGUCGUAGUUGACCUUGUGGGUCCGGACUGUAAGUAGGCGUUCUAUUUCUCCUUCUUUCUUUCGCGAAACAAAGUAGGCGUUAUUUUGUUGCGUAGAGCCCUACCUGGCCAAACGGGUCGGCACGGCACGGCACGUUUACUAAUCGGGUCGUGCCGUGUGAGUCCAUGGUUGCGCCUCUAGGCACAGCACAUUUACUAAUCGGGUCGUGUCGUGUGAGUCCAUGGGUUGCGCCUCUAGGCACGGCACGAUUAUUAAACGAGCCGGCAUGUUGGCCCGAUUAGCACGCUCGACCGUAUAUUUUAGUCUCGUGGGUUUAUUUUUUAACCUAUUGGACCAUAUAUUAUGUAUAUAUAUAUUAAAAAAAUAUAUAAAAAAUAAACGGGUCGUGUCGUGUCGUGUCGGCCCACGUGCCCAGCCUCCAGGCCCAGGCACGGCCCGAGGCGUGCUGCGUGCCUCGCACGGGCCCGUUUAAGUCGUGUCGUGCCUGGCCCAUGGCGGGCCGGCCUGUUUGACCAGCUAUACGUGGAGCAUCUACAGCCGCGUACCAAAAAAAUGACAUCCUCUUUACAGCAUCUCCAAUAGAGCCCAUAUGUAAAAAUAACUAACUUUUGGAUCUUUUAAAGCAAAAAAACAACACUCCAACAAAUGGUUCAUAUGAAAAAAAUACAUCUCUGCCUCCUCGUGAUGUAAAUUUCAACACCUCGCGGUGCAAAUUUACAUCUCCAAAGGCAGGAGAUGUAAAAACCGCGGCCGCGCGCCAACCACCAACCAUUCUUCAUUUGCUUCCCCCCACUUCUUCCUCCCGCCCACCGUCGCCUCGCCGCAGCUCACCGAUGUCGCCUCGCCGUAGAUCCAAUCCCCCGCCUCCGAUUCCACCCCGCCACGUCCGCCUCCGCUCCGCCAUGACCACGUCCGCCCCCGCUCCGGACGCCUCCGCCCCGACCCCGCCCGCCUCCUCUUCGGUCGCCUCCGCCUCCGUCCGCCUUCCCUCAGUCCCGACCCCGUCCGCCCCGCUCCGGUCGCCUCCGCCCCGACCACGUCUUCCUCCUCUCCGGCGGCAUCCGCCUUUGGUCUGGCCUCCGCGCGCCCCGCCUGCACCGCACGCCUCCGUUCGCCUCCGCUCCAUGUCGCAUGACGUCUCCCGCUCCCCGCAGCUCCGACGACGAGGAGUAGUCUCAUCUAGUAGUUGAAUUUAUGUAUGAAAAUAUGUUGAAUUUGAUGUUGAACUAUGUUGAGAUGAAGUAGUAAUCGUUUUGGACCAUUUGUUGGACUUGCUCGUUUUUUACAUCUCCGUUUUGGACCAUCUGUUGAAGUUGGGCCUUUUUUGAAGAUGUAAAUAGCACUUUUUGGUGCUCCAAAUUUGGACCACCACCGGAUUGAAGCAUCAAAAUAUACAUCAUCUAUUGGAGAUGCUCUUAACCCUACUAAUACUCGGAGGUGUGUCCCAUUAAAAAAAUACUCGAAGGUGUGGGCCGUUGAGUAUCAUUAUUAGUUAGCAAACAUAAGAUAGACUAGGAAUAAUUCUGGUUUGUCUUGUAUCCAGGUUGAUCAUGUACUCCUAUAAAUACGCCCAUGAGGUUCAAGCAAUACAUGAACCAUUCCACCAAUCCUUCUAUUCCCCUCUACAUGGUAUUUGCCGCCAGUUCCUAGACCUGAUCGUCGCACGCCGCUUACCCCCCCCCCCCCGCCGUGUUUCCCUCGGCAGGUCAGCCUCCAUGACCGCCCACGGGGGCCGCAUCACCCGUACCUAGGGUCCGUCCGUCGGUCGUGUUGACCGGCUGCCCUAGAAAGUCUUUUUCUCGAUCUCUUGAUCCGAAUUUUUCUUUCUUCCGCCGGACGCUUUGGUUGGCGUUUUAUUUUUGGUUUUCUGAUCUCAGAUCAGGUUGCGUCGCCCGUCGCCGCCGUCGACACUUGCGUGCCUCUACUCCGACAAUGGCGCGACCCAGGCCUAUUCUUCGACCUGGCAGCCUCGCGCCCCCACGUGACGCAUCGUGGUUGUCGCUCGCGCGACUGCCUGCCCGUCGCCUUGCGCCUGUCGUCGCUGCCAAUGGCGCAACCCCGACCACUUUUGCAGCCCGGCGGCUUCGCACGACACGGCGCCCUAUCCCGGUCGUCGUUCGCGCGUUUGCCCGCCCGUUGCUCCGCGUCGGUCGUGAUCGCCCGCGUCCAAUCAGGAUCCUACAUCACCUAUCGUCUUCGCCAUCGUUCGCCGGCUGCCUGGGGCUUGAUGUCUACCUGGCUCGGGCGGCCUUGUCGUCUUGAGAUUUUCUGGCUCGGGUCUCCGCCGCCCCUUGUCAGUUGCCACGAGGUUUUGCGCUCGGGCGUCGGCUGCCUUGGGCACGCUGUUCCCCAUCGGUCGCAGCCCCCUUGAUCUGCUCGAGCACCCCACUUCAUCGUCCACGACGCCAUCAUCAUCACUGAGCAGCGCCCUCGACCUCGCAUGCGAUCGAUUGAUCACCCGCCCGUCGCGACCGACUCCAUCCGUAUGGUGCGACUAACCUGAUCAGCCGGCUGCAUGCGCCUCCACAGGUCCUCUAAAGGUUGUCCCCGAGUACGGCAUGCCCUUCCACCGAUCGAGCAACGGGCUGCCGCUGCAUCACCCCAUCGGGCCGCAGCGUCGCCACCUAGUGGUUCUCCCCGCGAGCCACCCCUACACCGCCCGUGCGGGCUGUAGUGACGCGGCACGCGGUCUCUGCCGCCGCCCGAGGCCGUCCUUGUGGCUGUACCGACCUGCGCAUCGCUGUUGCGUCACCUCUCCGGGCCGUACUAUUGUGGCACGCAGUCCAUGCCGCCCUAGAACAGCACCAACAGCAUAAUCACUAGCAUCACACAUGAUCUCAAAAGGCAAGUUCUGUAGGGGAACGUCGCAUGGGAAACAAAAAAUUUCCUACGCGCACGAAGACCUAUCAUGGUGAUGUCCAUCUACGAGAGGGGAUGUGUGAUCUACGUACCCUUGUAGACCGUACAACAGAAGCGUUAGUGAACGCGGUUGAUGUAGUGGAACGUCCUCACGUCCCUCGAUCCGCCCCGCGAACCGUCCCGCGAUCAGUCCCACGAUCUAGUGCCGAACGGACGGCACCUCCGCGUUCAGCACACGUACAGCUCGACGAUGAUCUCGGCCUUCUUGAUCCAGCAAGAGAGACAGAGAGGUAGAAGAGUUCUCCGGCAGCGUGACGGCGCUCCGGAGGUUGGUGAUGAUCUUGUCUCAGCAGGGCUCCGCCCGAGCUCCGCAGAAACGCGAUCUAGAGGAAAAACCGUGGAGGUAUGUGGUCGGGCUGCCGUGGAAAAGUCGUCUCAAAUCAGCCCUAAAAACCUCCGUAUAUAUAGGUGGGAGAGGGGGAACCUUGCCUUGGGGCUCAAGGAGCCCCAAGGGGGUCGGCCGAGCCAAGGGGGAAGGUCUCCCCCCCCCAAACCGAGUCCUACUUGGUUUGGUGGGUGGAGUCCUUCUUUCCUUUCCCACCUCCUCCUUUUUUUUCUCUUUGAUUUUCUUCCUAUGGCGCAUAGGGCCUUCUUGGGCUGUCCCACCAGCCCACUAAGGGCUGGUGUGCCACCCCCAAGGCCUAUGGGCUUCCCCGGGGUGGGUUGCCCCCCCGGUGAACUCCCGGAGCCCAUUCGUCAUUCCCGGUACAUUCCGGUAACUCCGAAAACCUUCCGGUAAUCAAAUGAGGUCAUCCUAUAUAUCAAUCUUCGUUUCCGGACCAUUCCGGAAACCCUCGUGACGUCCGUGAUCUCAUCCGUGACUCCGAACAACAUUCCGUAACCAACCAUAUAACUCAAAUACGCAUAAAACAACGUCGAACCUUAAGUGUGCAGACCCUGCGGGUUCGAGAACUAUGUAGACAUGACCCGAGAGACUCCUCGGUCAAUAUCCAAUAGCGGGACCUGGAUGCCCAUAUUGGAUCCUACAUAUUCUACGAAGAUCUUAUCAUUUGAACCUCAGUGCCAAGGAUUCAUAUAAUCUCGUAUGUCAUUCCCUUUGUCCUUCGGUAUGUUACUUGCCCGAGAUUCGAUCGUCAGUAUCCGCAUACCUAUUUCAAUCUCGUUUACCGGCAAGUCUCUUUACUCGUUUCGUAAUACAAGAUCCCGCAACUUACACUAAGUUACAUUGCUUGCAAGGCUUGUGUGUGAUGUUGUAUUACCGAGUGGGCCCCGAGAUACCUCUCCGUCACACGGAGUGACAAAUCUCAGUCUUGAUCCAUACUAACUCAACGAACACCUUCGGAGAUACCUGUAGAGCAUCUUUAUAGUCACCCAGUUACGUUGCGACGUUUGAUACACACAAAGUAUUCCUCUGGUGUUAGUGAGUUAUAUGAUCUCAUGGUCAUAGGAACAAAUACUUGACACGCAGAAAAACAGUAGCAACAAAAUGACACGAUCAACAUGCUACGUCUAUUAGUUUGGGUCUAGUCCAUCACUUGAUUCUCCUAAUGACGCGAUCCAGUUAUCAAGCAACAACGCCUUGUUCAUAAUCAGAAGACACUGACUAUCUUUGAUCAACUGGCUAGCCAACUAGAGGCUUGCUAGGGACAGUGUUUUGUCUAUGUAACCACACAUGUAAAUGAAUCUUCAUUCAAUACAAUUAUAGCAUGGAUAAUAAACGAUUAUCUUGAUACAGGAAUUAUAAUAAUAACUAUAUUUAUUAUUGCCUCUAGGGCAUAAUUCCAACAAGUUCCAAUUAGGUGGUUGAACAAUAGGUGCAGUUAAUAAAGCCCUUUUAAGUGUUUCGAAGGCUUCCUCGUAGUCAUCGUUAAAAACAAAAGGAAUAUCCUUUUGCAAGAGAUUGGUAAGAGGCCUAGAAAUCAAAAACAAAAGGAAUAUCCUAAGCGAGCCAGCCCGGCCAGGCUCCUGCCCGCAUGUGCCGAGGCCACGUGCCCCACAUCCAUCGCCCCUGGGACUGGGAGAUAUCCCAGCACCCCACGUAGCAGCACGAGCCAGCUCCCAGCGAGCGCUCUUGUGCCCCAUCGCACCACGUGCACCACGAGCCAGCAAUGCCCAGCUCCACCGAGCCCAGGCUCUGCCCGCGUUGACCAGGCGAGAGCUUCGCCCCAUUGCCGAGCGAGGCCAGCAUCCAGGAGGCCCCAUCGCCCCCAGCCGACAGGAGGGUCCCGCACCCCUUGCCUCGUUUCCCCUGUCCCGAGCCAGACUCCCGCAGCUCCUAGCCUCCCGAGACCGAGUCUGGCCAGGACUCCUCCUCCUCGCGAGUAGAAAAGUCCAGGAGCCGACCCUCUCGUGAUUAUUUCCUUGUCCCAAUUCCUUUCUGCUGGUUUUCGAUCUGAGCCAGACCCCAUCUCGCCUAGAUCGCAGAGGAGCCGCCCCUCACCGCGCCGAUGCCGAAGCCGCCAUCGCCGGAGCACCUCACCAUCCACCGGAGUUCGCGAAGCCGUUCACCGGAGUUUGCGCACGUCACCGGAGUUUGUCCGACCGCCACCGGAGAAGCACCAUCGGAGGCACCACACCGAGACGGUUCCGUUUUCCCCCGCUGUCCGUGGUGAGAACGCACGCACGAGCCGUUUCAUCAAACCCCGAUGAACAGCUUUAGGACGAAAUUUAAUCUGUUUUUCAUCUGUUUUUAAUUCUGUCAGAUUCUCGGUAUAAUUUUGAAACGCGUUUAUCUUUUUACUCGUAACUCCGAUUCAGGAAAUUCUUUUUCCCGUGAUCUCGUAUUGAUGAGUAGAACAUGUUAGAACCAGUAGUUUUCAGUUUUACGAAAAUUAAUUUUUUUUGUUAAAUCAGAUUUAUUUUAGACGUACCGGAGGCCAUAUUUUGCAAACCGUUCAUCCGGUUUAGUUGAUUCUUUUUGCGUUGUCAUCAUAUCAGCAUGUCGAUGAUUUUAUGCCUGCUGCCAUGCUAUUUAUGCUUUGGUUUUAAACAAGUUGUCUUAUUGCUGAUGGUUUUAUUUGGUGUUAUGUGAUUGUGGUGAUUGAUUGGUGUGAUUGUUUGCAACGUGUAGAUUGUGCGGAGUGCGACACAAACUAUUGUCAGGAGUGUG